UACGUAGGUGGCAAGCGUUGUCCGGAAUUACUGGGUGUAAAGGGCGUGUAGGCGGGAAUGUAAGUCAGAUGUGAAAUCCCAGGGCUUAACUCUGGAGCUGCAUCUGAAACUGCGUUUCUUGAGUGUCGGAGAGGAAAGUGGAAUUCCCAGUGUAGCGGUGAAAUGCGUAGAGAUUGGGAGGAACACCAGUGGCGAAGGCGGCUUUCUGGACGAUAACUGACGCUGAGGCGCGAAAGCGUGGGGAGCAAACAGGAUUAGAUACCCUGGUAGU
rnacentral:rRNA from 1 species